UGUCUUUUACAAACUGUUAUGUCUGAAGAAAUGGAUGCUGCAGCCACUGAUUGCGCAUCAGAGAGUGACUCUGAGAGAGAGGAGUCGUCUGAAAAAUCCUAUGAAGGAAAUCUGACAGGAGAGAUGUCAGCAAUUCGGGCCAAACAGCCAAUGACCAAGGGAAAGCUGGGACAAAAGAGAGGCUCACACGGUGCCAAAGGAACAAAAAGGUAUUGGUCG